GUUUAUGUUAUACCUGAGAGUUUAACAACUCCCAAAAAAGAUUUAAUAACUCUUCAUAUAUUUCACAUUUUAAUUUUGGAAUUGAGUUAAGAAAAUGGGUUCUGUCAAAAUUAGUAUUCUACUUGCAGUGACAUCAAUUUAUAAACGAAAUGCAAAAGAUAACAACGGGACAUUCAAACUCAUAAGUCAAAUAUACACUUGCAACGCCGACGUUAAAAAGACAAAAAUGACAAAUCAGACAAACAGCAAUACACAGA
rnacentral:lncRNA from 1 species